CAGUAGCCGCGGUAACACGGAGGGUGCAAGCGUUAAUCGGAAUUACUGGGCGUAAAGCGCACGCAGGCGGUCUGACAAGUCAGAUGUGAAAUCCCCGGGCUUAACCUGGGAACUGCAUUUGAAACUGUCAGGCUGGAGUCUUGUAGAGGGGGGUGGAAUUCCAGGUGUAGCGGUGAAAUGCGUAGAGAUCUGGAGGAAUACCGGUGGCGAAGGCGGCCCCCUGGACAAAGACUGACGCUCAGGUGCGAAAGCGUGGGGAGCAAACAGGAUUAGAUACCCCUGUAGUCCCUGUCUCUUAUAC
rnacentral:rRNA from 1 species